ACAUGAUUGAAAAUAUGGCUCUGUAGCUGUACUUGUUGUGGGUACAGCUUCAAGAUAAAUAUCCAUAGCAGACAGAACUUUAUUUGAAGAAGGAGAAAAAUAAUGCAAUAUGUUCAUUUAACUCGGUUUCUAUAAUGUAUUUUUUAAAUAUUCCAGCGCAAGAUUGAGUUGUUUGUUUCCUGCAAGGGCUUCUAAAUGCUUUCUGCACACUUUGAUUAUAAAACUAUAAUCAUUUCUGUUCCUUGAUUUCUCUAAAUGUUCUUAAUAAUAUUAUAAAUGGUAAUGAACUGAAGUUGUGAUUAGAAUAACAUUUUUGCCUGUCAUAUCACUGUUUCUGGGGUGGAUAUAUUUUAGCUAUUGCUCUGCCCAGUCACUGGGCAGCAAAUUCAGUUUUCCCUCUAAACUCACAGUCCUAAUCUAUUUCAUUUAUGUGGCAUUCCUAUAACCUCUUACCUAGGAGUAAGUCCCAUUGAACUAAAUGGGACUUCGGAGUAGGCAUGUAUAGGGUUACGGUGUUGGUAUUUCUGCAUGUUCACAGUUUAGACAGAAACAGAUUAAAAUCUGAAUAAAUACACUUCUACAUAAUUAUUCAUUUGUUAUCCCUGAAGCGUGUUUCAUGUAAACAAUUCAUGUGGGGCUUGGGUUCAGUGUUCUUGUGAGCAGAACUCCAUUCAUGGGAUGCUCCCACUAGAAGAACAGAAUUAGGCAUUUUUGUUGUUUCCUUCUUCAGCCUCCUCCUGGAUGACAUUGGAUGGGAAAGUCCACUUUCUUCGGCUGGAUCCUCUGUUGUACUGUAUGUCAGCCCUUCCAUGUGCUGAAUGAGAUGGGAACCAUAAGUGUUUCAAAUGCACAGCAAAAGAAUCCCCAUCUCAUAGCCACUGAAUCCAGUUCAGUGAAGGAUUUAUUCAGAAGCCUUUAUGUGGUCUGUUUUGAGUACCUCCCUUCCUCUCCAAUGAUGCCGGGAUAGAAUCUAUAUGGUGUGAGCCCCAAUGAAAUCUUCCCUGCAUAUCUGCUAUAGUAGGCUAGUUAUUCUUUUCAGUUACCACUUGUGGUUCACUCAUAUGUGAGCUUUUUCUUUUGAGCUGUGAUAGCCAGCACAUGCUGGAAGGUUCAAGAGACCAGUCUUAUAACCUGUUACAGUGGUACCUCAGGUUACAUACGCUUCAGGUUACACACGCUUCAGGUUACAGACUCCGCUAACCCAGAAAUUGUGCUUCAGGUUAAGAACUUUGCUUCAGGAUGAGAACAGAAAUCGUGCUCCGGCGGCGUGGCAGCAGCAGGAGGCCCCAUUAGCUAAAGUGAUGCUUCAGGUUAAGUACAGUUUCAGGUUAAGUACGGACCUCCGGGACGAAUUAAGUACUUAACCCGAGGUACCACUGUAUUUGCAGUCAACACACAUGAAACUUGCUUCUGUCGGCAAUCAGAAUUUACCACAAAACAAUCUGGGAAUGGUAUUGUAGGAAGGCAAGGAGGAAGGGUGUUGUGCUAUAAAACUAUAACACAAAUAAUGUUAAUCUGUAGGGGAUGGAAACAGCCCACAAAGGGUAUGCAUUAUCUCUUCAUUUAAUAUAUAUUAGAAAUGUUUCACAACUGCUACUUUAAAUUGUAACAUUCAGGAGCACUGUUCGCAAUUCAAAAAUCAUUUCUAAAAUGUUAGAUAAAUGAGUUCCUGUUAUAGCUCUGACAGAAUUGAAGCCAAAACAAGGUCACUGUGAAACUAGAGAAGUACAACAAAUCUUCUAGGAUGAAUAAAACCAUAAGGGGCAACCACCCCAAAUAGCCUAGAGAUAAUUGUGAAUGCCUAGUAACUAGGUAUCCAUUGAGGGGGGAAAUCAAAUAAGCAGGGUGGGGAAAUGGAAUGGAAUACUGUAUCCUGGAAGACUGAAUGACGGUCUGGGAACCAGAACAGGAGCACUCUGCACUGCAACAUUUUGUUGCCAAUCCCUCUUGGUAGAAAUUAAUUGACAAGUGCAUAAACCCCUGAGGCCUUCCACAUUUGCAGGUUAUUGAGGCUGAGGUCAGCAACAUAGUCCUGCUGUCCUCUUCUCCAUGCACGGUUUGUAUUCAUGGAGAAAGGUUGAACAGGCCUUUCUGUCUGCUAUUGAUGUGUUUAUGUAAGGAAAGCACCAAGUGACAGAAGAUUCUUGGAGUGCCAAUAAAUAUGGACAGGGAUUUAGAAAAGGUUUUUGCCCACUCUUUUAAUAAUGUGUAUGUGGAAGCAAUUAUUCAUCUAUUUAAGAUGGAUGUAAUAAGUUUUGAUUACUUCUCAGUGGUGAAAGAGGGAGUUAAGUCCCUGUAAUGUGAGGCUGGGUUGGGAUUAUAGAGUUAUGUAAUAUUUUAUGUAUAUUUUAUCGUACAUUUUUAAACAUCUCAAGGCUAUUUAUAUAAUGAGAGCAGGAGGUGGCAUCGCAGGGCCUCUCCAUUGGCUCUGCUGAAUGAACAACAGGCCUCUCUCUCAACCAUCAACAGCUAUUCCUCCAUCAAGUUAUAUCAGAGGGUG